GUGUCAGCAGCCGCGGUAAGACAGAGGGUGCUAGCGUUGUUCGGAAUGACUGGGCGUAAAGGGCGCGUAGGCGGGAAUAUUAGUCAAGCGUGAAAGCCCCAGGCUUAACCUGGGAACAGCGCAUGAAACGGUAUACCUAGAGGACGAGAGAGGGAAGCGGAAUUCCUAGUGUAGAGGUGAAAUUCGUAGAUAUUAGGAGGAACACCAGAGGCGAAGGCGGCUUUCUGGCUCGUAACUGACGCUGAGGCGCGAAAGCGUGGGGAGCAAACAGGAUUAGAUACCCUGGUAGUCC
rnacentral:rRNA from 1 species